AAGUAAGCUUCCAGCAACAUCUCCAGCUCUUCUAUAUUCUCUGUCACGCCUUCUGAACUCCUUGCACUGUCAUGUCUGCUCCUAGCAAUACUCACGCUUCUAUCGAGUCUACUACGUGAAUCAGGUGGAGAAGAAACAGGAGAGACAGGUGCGGAAACAGAUAAGCCAUCAUUUGAUCUGUAACCGAGCAAGGACUGGUGGUCGCCGUACAAAGAUCCUUCCAUCCUCUUCUUCUUCUCAGUGAGAUACAUUUCCGCCAUAUCUCCAUCAUCAUCCAUCAGCUGCUCGAUCUCAUCCCUAACUUUCUGGACUCUUCUUGUAAGUGCUACAAGUCUGCUCUUUAGUCUACGUACACGUUCCAAGUUUAGUGUACUGAUCUUUGAGGUAAGCUCGUCUAGUAAAGGGUAUGCCUCAAUCUCCAACUCUGAAGCCUAUAGAGAAUUACCAAAAUACAAUCAACUACAAGUUAAAUCUAAGCUCAGCCAGCAUUAAACUACUAACCUGAGAAUCGAGAAAGGUACAAGCAGCUUCGAGGGCGAUUUCAAGAGCUCUAAACUCGAAAGGCAAAUAAUCAGGAGACGAGUUCUCAAAACUAUUAUCAAAGCUCCUCCUCCUCCUACUCAACUGCCCAUUAUCCUGCUGCCAAACCUCACCUACACCACUAGUCUUUAGCCUCUGCUGCAACUCGACAACAUACCUCAGGACAUAGUUGUCAAGAGAGUUCAGGAGCAGAACUUCAUCUGCGGUGAUAAUACACCGGAUCUGCUCCAAGUUCACAACAAUAGCCUUCUCUCGGCCGAGGAUAGUUGAGGGGUAGACGAACAAAGGAUCAAGAAGGCGGUAUUUUUUUCCCGAACGCUCUUAUGACAUGGAUGACGUGGAUGAUUGUUGCAAUAUUACUGGCUGAUUUUUUCAGCUGACGUGGAUAGGCUCAAUGAAGCUCUUAUUCAACUUUUAGUAUUGUAUUGAUGACAAAAAGUGUUCAAAAAAAAAAAAAAAAUAAAAAUAAAUGACAAAAGAUUUUAUCACAUUUGCAUUGGCAAUGUUUAAUUGUGCAAAGGAAACAAAUCAACAGUCAUGUAAUGAUGUAAUAAGCAACAUAAUAACUGGGGGGCAAGCAUAUUCAUCAUGUCCUCCCUCCUUCUCAUAGAGGCAUGAGUCUUCUAUACUUGAAGAACCAGACAAACGCCGAAAAUAUGACAAAGCCGCAGAUUCCUGUAAUUAUAAGUACCCAUCUGAAUGCACCUGGCUGAGUGAAGAAAUCUAUCUCAAAGUUCAUUCCAAAUAUCCCUGCUACCACCCCAAAUAUGGCUACAACGAAUGUUGCAGUCGUCAGAAGCAACUCGAACUGGAUCAGCUGAUUCCUCACAUUAUCCUGCCAAAACAUCAAAAGACUCCUGAGGUUUCUCAAUCUGGAUUAACCAUUCAGCUGUGGUUGAUAUAAAGAGAUUGAAUCUUGAGGUAUUACCAGUUGAAUGUUAAUGAAAUCUUCAGUAUCAUCAAUGUACUCCUUCAACUGUAAAGUGAGGGGGACACACACGGUUAAAGCUGUCCAACGAUGAAAGAUUUUUGAAAAAUUGAAACAGGGAGGACACCAAAUUACCGAUGUCAAUUUGUUUAGAGUACUAUCAAUGACGACAAAGUAAGCUUCCAGCAACAUCUCCAGCUCUUCUAUAUUCUCUGUCACGCCUUCUGAACUCCUUGCACUGUCAUGUCUGCUCCUAGCAAUACUCACGCUUCUAUCGAGUCUACUACGUGAAUCAGGUGGAGAAGAAACAGGAGAGACAGGUGCGGAAACAGAUAAGCCAUCAUUUGAUCUGUAACCGAGCAAGGACUGGUGGUCGCCGUACAAAGAUCCUUCCAUCCUCUUCUUCUUCUCAGUGAGAUACAUUUCCGCCAUAUCUCCAUCAUC
rnacentral:lncRNA from 1 species